GCUGGGAUGGCCGAGUCGUUAAGGCGAGUGAUUUGAACUAUAAACAAACAUAUCACUUGGUGUUUCACCGCGUAGGUUCAAAUCCUGCUCUCAGCG
rnacentral:tRNA from 1 species